rnacentral:rRNA from 1 species
CUACGGGAGGCAGCAGUGGGGAAUUUUGGACAAUGGGGGCAACCCUGAUCCAGCCAUGCCGCGUGAGUGAAGAAGGCUUCGGGUUGUAAAGCUCUUUCAGCCGGAACGAAACGGUCACGGUUAAUACCCGUGACUACUGACG